AUUUCUUCUUGAAGUAAAUAUUGUGUCGAUGAAGAAUGCAGCUAGCUGCAAGAAUUAAUGUGAAUUGCAGGACACAUUGAUCAUUGACAUUUGUGGUCAGGAAUAAUAUGAUUAAUGUCA
rnacentral:rRNA from 1 species